rnacentral:rRNA from 1 species
AGAGUUUGAUCCUGGCUCAGAUUGAACGCUGGCGGCAUGCCUUACACAUGCAAGUCGAACGGCAGCACGGAGCUUGCUCUGGUGGCGAGUGGCGAACGGGUGAGUAAUAUAUCGGAACGUACCCUAGAGUGGGGGAUAACGUAGCGAAAGUUACGCUAAUACCGCAUACGAUCUAAGGAUGAAAGUGGGGGAUCGCAAGACCUCAUGCUCGUGGAGCGGCCGACAUCUGAUUAGCUAGUUGGUAGGGUAAAGGCCUACCAAGGCAUCGAUCAGUAGCUGGUCUGAGAGGACGACCAGCCACACUGGAACUGAGACACGGUCCAGACUCCUACGGGAGGCAGCAGUGGGGAAUUUUGGACAAUGGGCGAAAGCCUGAUCCAGCAAUGCCGCGUGAGUGAAGAAGGCCUUCGGGUUGUAAAGCUCUUUUGUCAGGGAAGAAACGGUGAGAGCUAAUAUCUCUUGCUAAUGACGGUACCUGAAGAAUAAGCACCGGCUAACUACGUGCCAGCAGCCGCGGUAAUACGUAGGGUGC